AAAACAACAAAUGUGUAAGUCAAGUAGACGAAAAGUUGCUUACAUAUAAAACCAUUUCAAAAAAAUAAUAUGGCGGUUACAUAUAACUACGACGUAUAAAUUACAAAAUACGACGGUACAUUUAACUUCGGACGUGGUAAAUAAAUACGACAGUAGUUUGUAGGUACCGUCGUAGUAAACUCAAAAAUUAAAGUACAUAAGUAAUAACUCGCGUCAUGGUAUAUUAUUUAACACGUCGUUUUUAUUAAUUUACCGACGUGGAUUUCUGUAAUAUACGUCGAUCAUACCGACGUUGAUUUUACAAUUUAAACGGCGGUUUUUUUGUAAGGACCGCCGUUGGUUUUAAAAAUUUAUUCUAUAAAUUUGUCGCUUUCAUUCAUUUUCGGUUUACAUUUAAGGUUCCAAGUUCUUCCUCUCUCAGUCUCUCAUGUCUCAAAGAUAAUAAUUUGGAUGUUUUCUCAAAGAGAAAUUGAGCUUACUCGCAUCAAAUAUAUGUCCACAAGAAGAAGCUUGUCAACUAGCCUUCUCACUUCCUUGAUCAAGCCUGAUAGGACACUUAGUGCUUCUGAAUACUCCUUGCUUUCCAUCAAAAGAGAUGCAAGCCUGGCCUCCACUCGCUGUCGAAGGAAAGUUCGCUUCUCAGGGAAAUCUGAAGAUCAGAUGUGCCUGAUCCUCUGCUUGAUUUUCUUGCCUAAGAAGAUCCGUCGGAUUUAUUGUGAUAGCCUCUUCCUUUAUCCGUAGAGCUUCAGAAGAAGAAGAUGGGUUUCAAGAAUGCGAUAAAGAAUAGAAAUGGCUUCAGAUGGCCUCUAAAGCAUGAGCAAUUGAAUCAGUAGUUUCUGGGAGAUAUGAUGAAGACAUUGUCAAUGCUUUGAACUACACAAGUCCUGCAGAAAGAUAUGUUAAAGAAACUGAAACAACGGCGGUUUUCUGUUCUACCGUCGUCUUUUCUCGUCGUCUAUAUUAAGUUACGAUGGCGGUAGAUUUAUAAUUACCGACGUAGAUUAUUUUGUUAAACGUCGUUAAGUGUACUACAACCGACGUGGAUUUUAAUUUUAAAUUAUAAAUGGAGUUUUUUUUCCCGUAUUCUUUCAGUUUUAGUUUUCAAUUCCAAAUCGUGAUAAAUAGAUUUUUCUUUCUCGAGGAAAUUUAAAAUGAGGGAAAUUAAUGUUCUAGAAUUUGUAAACUAACACGACGCAAUAUUUGCAAAUCUGUGUCAUCUGUUAAGAUUAUGAUGUGGAACAGAGUUCCAUCUGGUAAGAUUUCGUAACCCUUGGGAUCUCAGACAAAACUGAUUAUGUCGGCGGUGUUCUAUAUAAACCGUCGUGGUUAUUUCAAUUCUUGUCAUUAAGUAGAUCUACCGACGUAGGAUAAGAAAAUCAAAGAAAAAAAUUGUUAACAAAAAUUCUUAUUAAGACGACCGUUAAAAUUAAAGGUACGACGUAUAAAAUGAAUAAAUACGACGAUAAAUUUUAUUGUACGAUUUAAAGAUAACGUAGUAGAACUAUACGAGAAUGACGUCGAUAUAUUUAUAUUUUCCGUCGUUGUAAAUUAAUUUAAUACGGCGAUAUUUUGUAUUUUAAAGCCGUGGAUUUGUUUGUAAUUAUACGGCGUCUUAUACGAAAACCUCGUCGUCUUAUUUUAUGAGUAAAAACGGCAGUUUUUAUUGAAAUCGUCGUCUUUACUUUCUACGUCGGUCGAUUCAUAACUUCUGCCGUUCUUUGUUGGCAUUGAUUUUACACUGCGGAAAUCUGUUUCAAAUAGACGUCGGUUGUUUAAUUAUGUACGUCGUUGUUUUUGAACAGCCAUUUGAAACUCCAUUUUUUAGUUGUCUAAGGUUGUAUUACACGACGGUGUUUUUAGAACCGUCGUCUUUUUAUAAACCACGACGGUUUUCACUUAGACCGUCGUUGUUUUCUGGUCGUCUUUUUCACUUUUUGUAGUAGUGCGAAGCUUUGCUAGUAACCGGGCCAAUCCUACCUAAUCAGCAAUGAUUCUCGAGACAAACGGUAGAGUUUUGGCAUGAGGCAGGGUGGUUAGUUGGUUUCGUAGCCUUUUCAGCUUGAGUUAAUAAGUCCUUAGGGGUGUUCUACACCUAGUGCCCUAAAACCCAAACCCGAGUGGUUUGAGAGACAUUUUCCUAAAGCUCGCUACACGAUUGGAUCAAAAGCUUAAGGGAACCAACAUUGCACAACCACUACUGUUACUAUAAAAACAAAAAAACAAAAAAAAGGAAAAUAAAAAGUGUGGAGUGUGUGAAAUAUGAAUAAAAGGGAUGAGAGGUAAGGGUUUUAGUCGAGUCUCCUUAACCAUGAUGGUUCACUUUACACCGAAGGAAGUUUGUGAAUUCUUUUCUAAUUGAGUCUAAAUAGCUUAGACUCUGAGGUGGGAUUACUUGGAUCUAUUGAAAGGAUGUUCUAGUUUUUAAAAUCUUCUAUGGAUUGCAACUUGAAGGUGGAAAAUUUUGUCAUGGUUAAGUGUUAGCCAGAUGUCUAGUCUAUUAAGUUUUUAUUUUUGUUUGAGUCUUGUUUCGCUUGAAGACAAGCAAAAAGCUAAGUUUGGGGGUAUUUUGAUGGACAUAUUUUAUAUUAUAUAUUUAACUUCAUUCUUAGUAUAUUUUGGUUAAUAUUUUGGAAGAAUUUUGAUACUUUGAAUUAUAUUUCCAAUAUAGGACUUUCGACUCUCUCUGGAGCCACACAUAAUCAAAUGAACGAAUUUUGGAGUAAUUCCAGUUGAAGGACGUUCGUGAGUCACUUAGCUUGAUUGUAUCAAAAUUUCAGAUUUUUCUUCCAAGCGGUUAUUUUCUGGCAAUAAAAUAAAGGAGCAGUGCGCGGUGAUAGAAUAGUGACGUUUUGGGCUUUUAUUACGUUUUUGGAGCCCAAGAUGACCUCGGAUGGGUUCGUGACCUUCUAGAGAAGUGUUCAGAACAUUUUUAUCUUUAAAACAAGCUAUAUUGGGCCAGAUUUGGAAGAGAUUUGGGGGCAAAACAUGGCUGGGCAGAUUUUGGGCAGAUUCUCCUAUUCUAAUUUAGACUUUAUUUCCUAGUAUUAUUUUAUUUUAAUUAGUUUCCUUGUGGGGAUGGAAAAGUUGUACAUUGGCAGCUAGGUUUUAAGGGGUAUUUAAGCUCUUUCUCACAAAGCUCUCACAAGGGUUUUGGGUUUUCGCAACUUUCAGGUGUUUUCGUUCUUUUCUUCUUAAUAAUAUUUUCUUGGAUUUCAAUUAUGAGUAUGUAGAACUAAAUUUCUUUUACUAGGGUGAAGCCUUGAACCUUAGCAUGAAUAUGUGAUUUUUAUUUAAUUACUUAUGAUGAGUGCAUGCGUACUUGAAUUGUUAAUCACUGUUUUAAACUAUCUAAUUGUCUUAAUGCCUGAUCACCAUUAGGAUCUUUAGAAAAGUAAUUGGAUGCAAUUUUGGUAAGAAGGUUCCCUGAAAUUGAUGCUAACUUCUUGUGAUUAAUAAUUGUAAUUUCACUUAAGAUGAACACCACGUCUUAAGGGUUGCAUGGUUUUUCAAAAGGAUUUUCACAAAACUUAAUGAGUCUUUCAUGUUUAGAUUUGAUCCGAACGUCUGGACGGGUUGCAUGUUGGAUAUACGUUCUGUGUUGGAGGUUCCAUGUAGAAUAUACAUUAGGAAAACAUAACCUUCAAAGUGGCAUGUGCAAAUCAUAAGUAAUUGGUAAAAAAAGUUCAUAGGAUUGCUAGGUGAUGGUGAAAUCCUAGUGCUUUUAUAAAUUGAUAUUCAAAACUCCUUCCUUCAAUCGUAUUUGUUUCUAUUUAUAUUUGUUUUUAGAAUCAACCAAAUUCAUAAUCAUCUUUCUUGACCUUUUAUUUUAAGUAGUUAUUUGGAAUUUGUUUUUACUUAAAUUGCUAAUUAGUCCUUGAAGAAAACAACCUUGCAUGAGCAUCUAUACUACAAUAACCUUGUAUUCUUGCAAGUAUUUUAUGUGAUUUUAACCCUGUUUGCACAGGCACUAAAAAUCCUAUCAAUCUCAUAGCCACCUAGUCUAUGACAAUUGACCAAAUCCAGCCACCGAACCCCCUGGGGAAGUUUUGGAAAAUUUUCCAAUGAUGUGCAAUUAGGCAGGAGUACCCGAUCUACACUUGGUCGAAGCAAUUCUGGAAUUUCUUGAAGCCCCUUGCAACCAUUUAAUCUAACAAACCAUAAGUUGGCAAAUUUUCUAAUGUGUCCCGGACAUCUGACAAAAUUGUUUCCUGAUGGAUCAAGAAAUGUAAACGUGAACCAGCAGUCGAGAGGCAGGACGAAGUUACUUUCUGAUAAAUUGCAUCCUUGGAGAUUAAAGAAAACUAGCUUGGGAAGCGCUAAUGAGAUGUUUGAGUCAGAGGUCACCUUAUCGCCCAAUGUAGUGAGACGUUGCAAUCCAUAUAUACUACGCAAUGACGUAAAUGUAAGGUUGUCACAAUAACCAGCACUCAUAAAUGUAAUCCCAGUAAGAUAUGCAGCUGAUGAUGACAAUCCUCUUAUGCCACUUUCUCCGAUAUUCAAAAUCACCAGGGAUUCCAACUUGUCCUCUAUUUCUGGGAAGCUCUCAAGCCUUCCACAAUUACGUAGACAAAGUCUUUCCAGGGAUUUCAAUCUCAGUGCUGUUGCAAACCUCGUAAGCUUAAAGCAUCCAUCAAGAUUCAAUUCAACAAGUUUAUCAAGGAGUCCAACAGAAUCAUUAACCUCAACCAAACUUGUACACUUACUCAGAUUCAGCGACUUUAUAUUUGGGAUUAUGGAUAAGUCAGAUAUUUUUUUUAAGAAUUGACAGCCACUCAAAUUCAAAGAUUUCAGCUUUGGCAUAUACUGUGAGACAAAAACAUAAAUUGGUAAAUUAUCGAAUCCCUUAAAAUAAAAUAAAAAUUCGAAUAUAUAUAUUUUUUGUUCCAAAAACAAGAACUCUAUUUGAAAUGGUAAUAAAUAAGAAUAAUUUCAAUUGUUACCUUAAAUUUUUCCAACUUUCUCAUACUACCGCAAGGCAUAUUGAACACAGCAAGAUGCAUUGCAUAAAACUUGGAUGGCAAAGAACGUAACUGGCAUCGACCCCAAUCAAGGAACCUCAACUCGUUGGGUAGAUAUUUAAUGUGUCCAGAUAGAAUUGCAUUACGAUUUAUGAAAAUUUCAAGAUUGUCCAUCCUAGAGAAGCUUGUUGCAUUUAAUGUUAUCUCAUUUGGCUUGGGUAACUCCACCAUGAUGCGUUUAAUUUUUCCUGUGCCCUAACAUGGAAAAUAAUUAGUGUUAAAGACUUUUCAAAUCAAAACACAACUACAUUUCGUUAAGAAAUUUCUAGGUUACAUAAGGUCUUUCAAAUGGAAUAUAAGAACGUAUAUUAUACUUAAUGUAUUUCCUGUUAGAACAUGGUAGAGAUCCUCAUGAAACUACAAUCUACUACACUUGCCAGGCUCAAUGGGGCACUCUUCGUGAAUUAUAUCCUUUCCCAUUUUUUCUAGCAAGUCAUGCAUCCAAAUCCUGUUACAUUCAAUAGUUAUGAUUGCCUUCUCAACGAGUACUUCUAUACAAUCUUGGGAGACCUUCUGCUUACAACUUCUUAGUAUUUAUAUCACGUAGUCCUUAUCUUCACCCUUGAAGAAGCAUGAAAUGUCAAGAAAAACUUGUUGCACUGAAUUAUCUAAUGCAUCAUAACUUUUUCGAAGUAUUUUCUGUAUACCUGUAUAAGGUCUCCUUCAUAACCAUCUAAUAUAGCUUGCCAACGAUGUAUACCUUUUAUUACGAAGAUGGGAGCCUAAAAGUGUUAAAGCUAGUGGAAGGCCUUGAGCAUAGGCUAUUGCUCGUUUUGCUCGUUCCAAAUAAUCAUUUGGAGGUUCAUUUCUUCCAAAGGCAUUCAAACUGAAAAGCUCAAGAGCUUGGUUGUCAUAUAACUUAUGGACCUCGUAUAUCAACUCAAUUCCAUAACAUUUUAGCAAUCCGCUAUCUUGUGUAGUUAUGAUGACUCUACUACCCUCACCGAACCAACCAACUCCAGCCAAGUUGUCUAAUUGCUCCAAUUGAUUCACAUCAUCAAGAAUUAAGAGAAUCCUUUUAUGCCUUAGCAAUUUUUGUAUAAUAGAGAUACCUUUAUCAGCACUAACAAUUUUCAACUUGUUGCCACCUAGAAUCUCUUGAAGAAGAGUCUCCUGUAGUUGGAUUAAGCCUCCAUGUGGCAUUGAAUUUUCUCUAACAUCUGCCAAGAAACAACACCCUUCGAACUUAUGAGCAAUUGCAUUAUAAAUAGCUUUCGCAAUUGUUGUCUUGCCUAUUCCAGAUGUCCCCCAUAUCCCAACUAUGCGGCGACCAUUCCCACCAGCACAUAAAAGCAUUUCCACAGCUCUUAACACGAGUGAAUUCCAACUGGGUACUUCGCCACAUUCAAAUAUGUGCGGUUCAGCACUAGGACUACAAUCUCUUCAACGAUGUGGUUGAUAAAUGUAGCUUCAGACCUACCAUUUAAAAAAUUUGACACAUUUAAGGAAUAAAAUUUAGACAUGCAAGCACUCAAAACACAAGGUAGUUUAUUGAGCUGAGACUGCCCUACUCCACCAAGUUUGAUUAGAUAGUCUACUAAAUAAUCUUCCGUUUGGAUGAAGGGAUUUAAAAGAAGGGAUUUGGAUUUGAGAAUAAGGCUAAGUUUGCUAUAAUAAAAGACAAGAACGACAGUAGAAUGAAGGUAUUUGGAAUAACUAGAUGUAGUGCCUUUAAAAUUGAUUUGAAAUUGACUACAUAUGUAAGGAAUCAUUUGAAAUCCAUUUAUCUUCUUCAUUUCUCUCUUGUCCAAAUCUUGGCAUUUCAUCUAAAUCCAUGAAUUUGGAAUCCUUCCAUCCAAAUGAAGCCUAAUAGUUUUUUUUUUGUUUUUUUGUUUUGUUACAUUGGUAAGAAAGAUCCUUAGGGGUUCUAUCCUGGGUGCCUAACAGGGGGAAGGGGGAAUAGUUCUUUAACUACAAACAAUAUAUGGGUUUUGAAUCUUCUCCCCUACAGCCAUUGAAAAAAAUCUUAUGCCUACAGUUUUCUAUUUUUAUCAAAACAGUACUGUGGGAGCAUAUAUUUUCGUCUCCAAUCAGGGCACGCCACGUGGAAAAGAAGAUUAUCUCUUUAAUUAAUUAAUUAAAUCAGUUUAUCUGGCUAAUUAAUUAAUUAGGAUAAAUAUCUUAAUUAAUAUGAUAUUAUCUUUAUUUAAAGAGAUAAUAUCAUUAAUUAAGAUAUUAUCACAAUAAAGAGAAGAUAAUAUCAUUUAAAUCAGAUAUUAUCUUCUUAAGAGAUAAUGUCUAUUUAAUUCAGAUAUUAUCAGGCCCAUUCCUACGAAACCCUAGCCCCGAGGCUCCUAUAAAUAGACGACCUCAUUCAUCAUUCAAGGUACAUCUAAACCUACUCCUUAUACCAGAGAAAAAUACCCGAAGCUCUCUCUCCCUCUCCACUCUCCAUAUUUUCUCCCCACGGCUCCGGCCACCACACACGGCUCCGGCCACCCAGUUUACACCCUACAUAAAACUCCGUACCCUUUGCUUAGCUAUUGUUUUCCUACAAACACUCGAACUAACUUAGGCAUCGGAGGGCCUUUGGCCAACACCCCCCGGGUGUGGUCUAUUUACUCCAGUCUUUUUUACAGGAAUCGAGGAAGAGAGAGAAGGAAGAUCGAAGGUUGAAGGAUCUAGAAGCGAAUAUUCUCCCGUGAGAUUAUUUGCACAAACAAGUACUUUUUUGAAUGUGUAACUAUUAAAUAUAACCAAAGGAAAAAGUAGAUAAAAAAUUAAACUUGAAAAAGAUAGAUGACCCUGAAAUAUAGAAUCAAGCCACUAAAUUAACCAUAUAUAUGUGCACUAUAGAGGGUAGAUAUAUACUCUCCCGCCUUGCAAGUAUAUCCUUUCAAACUUGCUGCUUCUCUAAGAGCGCUCCUCCACCUUAGCACCUUCUCCGUAUUAUCCUUAAAUCUGCAGUUCAUGUCAGCAAAUGCAUCACCAAAACUAUUUGUUUGGUUCCGUACAUGCGAAGGAUCCACUUUGUAAAAAAUGGGCCAACCUAUUUGAUUCGUUGAGCUUUUGCAUCGAAGGAUCUCAACGAGUUCGUCUAAGCACUAGCUUGAGGAUGCAUAGUUUUCAGAGAAUACAAUGAGAAAAAUCCGUGACUCUUCAAUUGCUUUGAGAAGGGCUGGUGAGAUUUUUUCUCCUCCUAUAAGCUCACGAUCAAUGAAGGUGUAGAUCCCCUUAUUGGACAAGACCUUGUACAAAUGAUCUGUAAAAUUGGUGCGUGUAUCCUUACCUCUAAAACUCACAAACACAUCAUAUGUCCAUGGAUCUUGAGUUACAGAAGAAGAAGAAGAAGAAGAAGAAGAAUGUCCUUGUUGGUUGGCCGUAGGAGCCAUACUCAGAUCAAAGACUAAGUUGUUGGUUGCAGUUGUGAAUGUGAUGAAGUUUAAGAGGGGGAGAGGAACUUCCAGUUUUCAGCUUCCUUCGGUUUCUGACGUGCACACUUGGGACUUUUGCUCAAUAAAUUAAUAUUAAGACUGGUUUGUCUUUUUCAGUGUCUGUAAACUCAAUGGGCCUCACCUUCCUUCUCCCUGCUGUGCAAGGAUGUGGUCCAAAUUUACCUCCGUUGGAUAUUUCUAAGGACGCCUAGCUUUGCAACAACCAACAAAUCCUUUUACAGUACUUAAACGCAUAUCUUUAGAUUAUGUUAUCUUUACAAUGACUCUUUGACUCAGUAGAUUCAUGUGUUGAUAUAAUUUACAGGUGCAGGUGCCUAGUCCCAUCCGCUACAGGAAACAAUAAUGUUUAACAUUCAGUUCGGAGAUGAGAUCUGUAGCUUUGUGAUUAAUCAGUGAUAGGAUUCUCAGGGUUCGUAUGGUCUUUUUGUAUGUUAGCUGAGCUUGCAAGGUUUUGUUAGGCAAUUGGUUAGUUAGCUGGCAAUUUGUUUUGUUAGUUAACAGCUGUUAUUUGCUUAACUGGGAAGCGAUUAUAUUAGAGGGCUUAUGCUCAUUCUAGGGGAUGUGAUUGUGAUUGUAAAUCCAGUUUCAAUAAGAAAUAAGGCCUAGUUUGGUGGAUUGGCUUGAACUAGUUAAGAUGGACUUCGAAGCAUUGAAUUGGUCUAGCUUGGAUUGGCUAGGCUUUGAGUCCAAUCCAAUUUAUUUUUGCACCAAACAACAUACUCGAAUUAUUAUUAUUAUUUUUAAUAAAUCAGAUUUUUAUUUUAUUUUUUAUUGACAAUUCAAAAUUCUAAUUUUUUUUGCCUCAGAUUGAAGAAAAACCUUGGAAUCAUAUGCAAAAUCCUAAACAAAUCAAGAAGAGAACUCAUAACAUCACCAAAAAUCAAACUUGAAAAAAAUAAAAAUGAAAAGAAAAUCAAACUCAUAUAAAGAUUUUAAAAAAAGAAAAGAAAAUUAAACUCAUAUCAAGCUUUGAAAAACAGAAAAGAUAAUAUAAUAUAAUCGAUUGCUAGUUGUUUUCCUUCUUCAGCUUUGUUUUCUUUGAUUCCUGUGGCUGUUGGGCUUUGUUUGAUUUUGCUUUCGAAGUGGAUUUAUACAUAGGUACCAGGUUAGUCAACAUGAUAGACGACUUCUUCAAAUUUUAGACUGCUCCAGCAAUGCCCUGCAGGAGAGAGCAUACUACAAAGGUGAUGACUCCAGCGAUGGGUAGAAGGUGGUGGAAUAGAGAGAGACCAACGAGAUUGGACAGAAGAUAGAGGGGAGAGAGAGAGAGAGAGAGAGAGAGAGAGAGAGAGAGAGAGAGAAGAGAGAGAAUAUAAAAGAGGAGAACAGAGAAGAAGGCAACGAGAUGGAUGGGAAGGAGAGAGACGUCGGCAAAGGAUUCACUAUAAACCCACAUCUGGGGUUGGGUUUCAUAACCCCAGUUAUUUGGGACAUGGAUUCGAAGGCCCAUAUCUAGUAUGAGAUACAUUUAUGUCCACCAAAAAAUGGUUAGGAUCCAUGUCCCUUUUAAUUGGAAAUAUCCCAUCCAGUCUAGCCUACCAAACAGGGCCUAAUAGUUCUGAUUCUUUGGCAUUGAAUUAAGGUUGAUGGGUUUCUAUCAAUCAGCAGCACUUGAAUGAAGCUUCUUGGUAAUACUAAUUAGGAUGAUUAUCCUAAACUCACAAUUAAACAAAACUUAAACAUGUGCUUAGCUUCAUCAAAAAAAAAAUGUGUUUAGCUUGACCAUGCUUCUUGUGAAUAAAUAUAAAUGCAAUUAUAGUAAGGCAGAGUUAUUGUAGUUCAUAAACGCAUAACCAGGGCUAGAGCCCAUGUCACUUUCUUUCCUCCAGCCCAAAAAAUGAAAAAUAUUUCUUAAAAUGCAACUUUUGCAACCAACCUGUGUUGAACCUGUUGCAUUCCCCACUAGAGGAUUAGAGACUCAACUAACAAUAUAUAUUAGGGUAAAUUAAUAAUUCAAUAAAUAGUUUGGUAAUAUGGUGUAUUCAGUUAAUUUUAAGGUUCGUUUAAUAGCACCCUUUGUAAUUAUUUAACAUGCUCCCAUAUUUAUUGCUUCUCAUAAUUUCCAUAGAUUGAGUCACUGUUGUGUUCUAAUUUUUUUUCCUGCUCCUCACAUUGUUGUUUUUAUGUCAAAAUACUAUUGUGUAGUGAUGGAGCCAUGUGAGGGGAGCGGAUCCGCUGUCCCCAAAAUUGAAUGUCCCCCCAUGUCCCCCUACUAGUUUGUUGACACAUGGCAGCUAACUUCAUAGUAAACUUUUUUAUUUUUCAAUUAAAAAUAAUAUAUAAAAAAACCAAAAUACGCUCGUGUCUUCUCCAUCAUCGUUGCACAAACUCGCAUCUCCACAUCUUCCUCUUUGGGUAUGGGUAAUGGCAAUCAUAGGUGGUGUUGAGGCCCAAAAAAUCCACGGCUUGGCCCAAAUGAAUUCUCGGCCCAGUGCAAUACCUUAUUGAGAAAAAACCCGACUUGGAGCACACAAAAGUCCGUCAUGCACGAGUCGACACAGUCCACGCGCCAUGCCAAAUAAAUAAUCCGUCAUGCUAAGAAUCGAGAUUAAGAUUAUAAAAUGCAUUAUCUUUGCAAAUCCAUGCUAAUUAUCCCCGUCAAGCAUAAUAAUUAAACGCAUGCCAAGCGAUAUGCCAUGUCAAGCAAGAAAUCAUUAUUACACACCCAACUACGCUACAAGCCUAAGUGAGCCCAAGCCACUCGAAUGCCUGGGGCUUGCUUGAGUGGGUUGUGGUAUGGACGGUAUUGAAUCAACAUGAGGCCCAUUGAUGGGCCGAGGAAUGGAAAGUCUCGGGUUGCUUGGGAGCCUCGAGACUCAAGCUCAUUUCUUAGGCCCAAACAUGUGGGUGAGCACAAGAGAGAAAAAUAGCCAAAUAGCCCAAGCAAAAUAGCCUAUUGACACAACCAAAAUAGCCCACUUGCUUAAGGAACCACUUUGGCCCAUACAAAACUCCAAAAUAAGCCACAAAAACCUCAGUCCUUUGCUGGAAAAAAUAGAAGCCACGUAGAGAAGGUCUGCCAGAUCAUUGAACAGAGGUGCUGAAGGUUUCAGCACAUGGGGGAGCAAGUUUCAAAGCCAAAAUAUUUAAGGAACCAAGGGGUAUUAGCGUGUAAGAUGCCAAAGAGUGGAACACCCUUCGAACCAGCAUAUAUAUAUUCCAACUCCUUUCCCCAUCAGACUUGGCCAUGGAAAAAAAGAGAAGAAAGCAAUAAAAGAGAUGGCUGGGAAUGGAAGUCUCCCAUUGAGACAGCUGUGGGGAAAGGGGGCCUUGAGCUUCAAAAAAACUCUGAUAUGUGCAAAUAGGGAGAAGGGAUUUCAUCAAAAUGGGAAAAGUCAAGGAAGGAGAUGAGAAAGGAGGGGAAAAGCUUGGCCAAAAUGGGUAGAAGCCAUUAGGGUUUCUCGGGAAUUGAUGGUUCCCAGCAGUUAUAAAAUGAAGCCUCUCCUACCUAACAAAUGGAACCCAGAUUCAGAGAGCAAGCUUUCUCUCUAACUUGCAAAAAUCCAGCAAUCUCGUGCACUGUUCACCCUCUUCUCCCUUCUUCUCUUCUGGCAGACAGAGUAUCUGUCAAGCUUCCAGAAGAGCGUUAUUCUUUAUUUCUCUCUUCCUAGCUAAAUCUCCUACAAAUCUCUCCUUUCUCACCUUAACACUUCCCUUUUUCCCCCCUAAGAAAGCCUAAAUUUCCCCUCAGUGCUAAACUCAUGUUGAUUUUGCUUCCAUGUCACACGCUUCUCAUGCCAAGCUCAAAAGUUUAUCUGUAAGCAUGCAAAAAUUACUUGUAAGUUGCCAUUGUUUUGGCUGGUGAAGAUAACCAAAAUACUUCCUAAGGCUCUGCUGCCCUUUCGAAGCAUUUUUGGGGCUUAAUUUUCGAACUCAGACAAAGGGGACAAUUUCAUCAGUCUGCCAUUUACGAGCAGCCCAGCCCAUUUACGGGCAGCCUAGCCCAUUUACAGCUGCCGAAAGAAAAAGUCCCCCACAGGUGGAAGAUCUCCAUUUCUUGGUCCUUAUCUCUUCGGGUCAGACCUUCGAGUGCCACUUCGUCCAAGUAUGUCGCAAAUUCGGCUUCUCACCAAGCUCGAAGAUGGGUGGCAACCCGAUUUCUCCACCAUGAUUUCCAACUUAGUCAUCAAAUCCACCAUUGAGAGAGAGUUGCUGAAAGGGAUGGUUGGAUGUUGGAACUCAAAAAUAACUGAAAGCUUGAAGCUAUUGAACUAAAAAACUGGAAAAUACUCAUUCCUGAAUGAAACAAGAUUACAACUUAAAUGGAACUGAUCUAGGCUGAACGUUAAACACUAACUGAACUUGUGCAGAUUUUGUGGAACUAAAUGAAAGCAAUGGAACACUUCUAACUGUGGUGCACAAUCUCAACCAGGACUCCAAAAAACUAGGAAUCCUACUUGACUUGGACUCUGAGUUACCAAGUCAACUUUAUUUAAUUAAAACUUAAUUAAACAUAACUAAAUAACUCUUAACAUUCUCCAUUCAGCUGAUUCUACUUAAAACAAUUUAGGAUUUGUUGACCACCCACAUAGUCUUCUUCAUCUGUAGUUUCUCCUUGAUCAAUACUAUGAAAUGAGCAAACUCUAAGCAUGUUCCUCAGCUUCUCUAACACAAGUUGCUUCAGUGGCUUUGUCAUAAUAUCUGCAACAUUUUCUCCACUCUUACAAUACUGCAAUUCAUUCUUUCCAUUCUUGCACAGAUCUCUCAGAAAAUGAAAGCUAACAUCAAUAUGUUUACUCCUCUCAUGCAUAACUGGAUUCCUUGACAGCUUGAUGGUUGACAUGCUAUCACAAUAGAUGAUUGUUGGACCCUUUUGCUCAUCACCAAGUACUUCUAACAUCUUUCUAAGCCACACAACUUGAUAAGAGCUUAAAGCUACUGCCACAAAUUCAGCUUCAGUUGUAGAAAGUGUCACUAACGUUGUUUCUUAGAGGACCACGAUAUUGCACCAGAAUUUAGCAUAAAUACAUGACCUGAUGUGCUCUUACGAUCAUCUAUAUUACCUGCACAAUCACUAUCUGUAUAACCAACAAAACCAACACCAUCAGCCUUUUUAUAAAACACGGCAUAAUCAACUGUCCCCUUCACAUAUUUGAGCAUUCUUCUAGCUGCAUUAAAGUGCAUCUCAGAUGGGUUUUCCAUGUAUCGACUAAUCAAACUCACUAUAUACAUGAUAUCAGGUCUCAUGGAGGUUAAAUACAUGACACUACCAAUUAUUUGCUUAAAGAAAGUGUUGUCGACCUACACAACUUUAAACCAUACUCAAUUGAUGUUCUAAGAAUGUCCUGUGCAUACUUCCUCUGAUAAAUAAAUAAAAUUACCAUUAGUAGUUUGAAUGACUUCAAAUCCAAGCAAAUAAUGCAUUAAUCCCAUAUCAGUCAUUCAAACUUCUCCAUCACUGACUUCUUAAACUCAGCAAACAUCUUAAUAUCAUUACUAGUGAAUAUCAAGUCAUCAAGAUACAAACAGACAAUGAGCAAUUUACCUCCUUUUUCUAUCUUAACGUAAAAAGUGUGCUCUAAGGGACAUUUGUAAAAUCCUAGCUUAGCAAAAUGAGCAUCUAUGUGACUGUACCAAGCUAUUGGUGCUUGUUUUAGUCCAUGGAGUGCUUUCUUCAAUCAGUACACCUUCUUCUUCCUUCCCUUUCUUCUCAUAACUAGGUGGCUGGUUACUGUACACUUCCUCUUGCAAAACACCAUGCAAGAAGGCUAACUUCACAUCUAACUGAAUGAUUGACCAUGAAUUUUGUGUUGCUAAUGAAAUCACCAACCUGAUUGUAUCUUGCCUUGCAACUGGUGCAAACACUUCCUUGUAAUCAAUGCCAUGCUUCUGCUUAUAACUCUUUGCCACCAAACGAGCUUUAUGCUUAUCGAUGUCUCCUUUUUCAUUCAUCUUUGUCCUGAAAACCCAUUUAACACCAAUGGUUUUUUGUCCUUUAGGCAAGUCAGUUAGCUCCCAAGUGUGAUUCUUCUCAAUGGACUUUAUUUCAUUGUCCGUUACUUUCCUCCAUUUCUUUUCUUUAAUAGCCUCAUCAUAUGUAAUUGGAUCACUAUCUACAAACAAUGCAAAAUGAGCAUUACCAUCAUCAGAACUUGAAUUACUUACAUCAUAAUCCAUCAUCCAUGCUGGCCUUUUUCUCGUAUUUUCAUCCCUCAAAUUAUAACCACUUUCUUCUUCUAAUUGUUGACGAGGUUGAGCCACAUGUUGGAGUGAUUGUUGAUCUUGAAUUUCAGGAACUUCCUCUAUGUCACAAUCUGAGAAAUACAACCACAUGGUUUCUUCUUCAAACACCACGGCUUUGCUUAUUACAACCUUCUUUGUCACCAGAUUGAAUAACUUGUAAGCCUUUGAAGUUUCACUUACACCGAGAAAUACACACUUCCCACUUUUGUCAUUGAGUUUCUUUCUUCUUUGAUCACGUACAUGUGCAUAUGCGAUGCACCUAAACAUCUUGAAAUGAUCAACUGAAAGCUUCUUCCCAUUCCAUGCUUCUUGUGGUGUCAUGUUCUACACUACAAUCGUUGGACUUCGGUUUAAAAUGUGAAUUGACCACAACACUGCUUCCGGCUAGAAUUGUUUUGGAACCCCUCUUGUAGCUAUCAAACUUCAAACCAUGUUGAGAAUGGUUUUAUUCUUCCUUUCACACACACCAUUUUGUUGUGGUGUGUAUGAAGCAAUCAAAUGUCUUCGUAUGUUAUUUACUUCACAAUAUGAUUCAAACUCAUUAGAACAAAACUCUCCUCCUCUGUUAGUUCUAAGAGUUUUAAUCUUCUUCGCAGUUUCGUUUGCAACAAGAGCCUUCAAACUCUUGAAUGCAUGGAAGGCUUUUGAUUUUUCCUGCAAGAAAUACACCCAUGUCUUUCUACUAAAAUCAUCAAUAAAAGAUAUAAAGUAUUUCUUAUUACCAUUUGAUGUUUCUCAAUAACACAUUUUUCGCAGGUUUAUGAUGGAAGAGAGAUUGUUGGGAGACGUGUAACCAUUUGCCUCUAACAAAGGUCUUUAAGCCAUUAAAAUUUAAAUGGCCAUACCUAUAAUGUCAUUUCCACGAUGAGUCAUCUUCCUUAGCAAACAAGCAAUUUUGCAUUGUCUUGAUCUUCAAGGGAAAUAAUCUGUUCGAGGACAUUUUAAGCAUGGCAACGGAACCUCUCCUUGGAUCAUGCACUUCAUAUUCUCCUUUGAAGAUUGUGAUUCUAUAGCCUUUGUCUUGUAACUAACCAGCACUAAAGAGAUUUUUUUUUCAAAUCAUGAAUAUAAAAAACAUAUGAGAUGAUUUCAAUGAAGUCAUUUUUAGUCCUGAUUUGAAUGUCUCCCUUUCCCAUGACAUGUACGGUUGAUUUGUCCCCAAAGCUCACAAUUGAAUGAAAACUUUCAUCAAGAUUUACAAAAGAGGACUUGCAUCUACUCAUGUGAUUACUACAACUUGUGUCUAUGUACCAAGUUUCUUGAUUAAGCUCCUCCAAUGCUUGGAAGGCCAUUAAAAGUGUCUCUUCCUACUUUUUCUUCUCGGCAAGAUUGGAUUUUUCUCCUUUCUCCUUUGGCUGCUUCGUGUAGCAUUCAUUCUUGUAAUGACCAAGGUUGCCACAUCUGUAGCAUUCAAUCUUAGACGUGUCAUACUGCCCCCUUCCUUUUCCUAGAGAGUCAUUAUCUCUCUUGGAGGAAUGAGACGGAUUGCUACCAUCUCUAUUUCCACGACCUCUUCCACCUCCUUCUCUACCUCUUCCUCUAUUGCUUGAGGAUUCAGCAUGGGUAUAGGUUUUGAGAGCUGUUUGCUCCUCCACCUCAUUGGCACGAUUGAGCUUUUGUUCAUGAACUAACCAAGAACUCUGAAGUUCAUCAAUGGACAUACAUUCAACAUCCUUGGACUCUUCAAUUGAGUAGACAAUAUAAUUCAUUGAACUUUUUAUCUGCCAACACCUUGACUUGUGCAUCAAUGAGUGUUUCUCCUUCUGCUAGUUCACUCAUCCCAUUCUCUACAAGAUCCCAGUAUUCCUUGGACCUCAAGAAGUUUUCCAUCAACAUGCUCCAAUGGUCAUAAUGACCAUCGAAGCGAGGGAUUGCUGGUUGCACGAAACCAUUGCCUUCAGACACCAUUUGAUCUUGUUGUUGUAAGAGUAAGACUGAUGCUUUGUGUUUUGAUUAGGCCCCAGUAAAGGAGCUCUAAUACCAAAUGUUGGAACUCAAAAAAAUAUGAAAGCUUGAAGCUAUUGAACUUAAAAACUAAAAAUACUCAUUACUGAAUGAAACAUGAUUACAACUUAAAUAGAAUUGAUCUAGGCUACACGUUAACUAACUCAACUUGUGCAGAUUUUGUGGAACUAAACGAAAGCAAUGGAACACUUCUAAUUGUGGUGUACGACCUUACCAAGUCAGCUUUAUUUAAUUAAAACUUAAUUAAACAUAACUAAAUAACUCUUAACAGAGAGGCCGCUAAUUAUGUUCACUUAAGCAGCGACCGAGUUGGGCUACCAAGUUGACCAUUUCUACUCGAGCUCGUUAGUGUUUGGGCCCAAAUUCGGCACGCCCAAGACCAGAAGGCAGGCCCAUGAUAAAAUUGUCUGCCCAGCCCAGAGACUUGAGAAAAACAAAAAAAUAAAAUCCAAACAGUUUGGGCUUCACACCAAGAACGUUGGAAAUAAAGCCUCAGCCCAAAGAAAGCCCAGAUGUGGAAACUUUCGAAAUGGACUUCAAAGAUCAGCCCGUAAUUUUCGAUAUAUUCAAAACCAAGGGAUCAAAGACACACCCACGUGAUUGCCUCAGCUUUGGAAAAGUCAGCAAUUUCAACUAAAAUUUAAAAAUGUGAGAGGGACGUCUCUGAAACACUGCCAAUUGAAGAUCAAAAACCCAUCUGUGUUCAAGAUUUUGCUCCAAAUCAAUACACCAUCUCCCAAGAAAUUCACGGAUCACGCUUUCUAAAUUAGAACGGGAAACAGGGAACCACUUAGAAAAUACAAAAGAAAAAGAGCCAAAACUGCCAUAAAAAGCCCACACAGACGGUGGCGUUGGUUGAAUUAGAAAGCUGCCACCCAGAAAACCAGGGAAGGGACUGUUUUUAGGAGGUGACUGCUCAGAACCUAUCUAAAAAACCCUUCUUACUUUACAUUAUAAGAGAUUUUUUGCCGCCCAUUGUUUAAAAGAUUAAAAAUGACCUCCUUAGGAGGAUCUCUUAUAAAAGCGAAAUAAGGCAAAGAAACGAAAGACACUCAAUUCAUCAAUCAAUCAAAAAAAAUAAAUAAGAAAAAGUUCACUUGGAUCCCAAGAGAAAAAACAGCUUUAGAUCAGAAUCCCAAAGUUCAGACUUAGAAGAUAAGUCUUCUGAAAACGAGAUCCUUCUCGUUACAAAUUUGGUUCAGCAAAAGCCAAGACAAACAUAGUUUGAGUUUUCACCAAUAUGAAAACCUCAACAAAUUUUACAGCAUAGUUCCAGCUUGCUAAAUCCUCGAGAAUAGCCACUUAUGUCCCUUCAAACUGAAGAAUUCCUGCAGUUCUGCCCGCUCAAAAGUCUCCCAAGGCUUGAAGUAGAUUGAAGCUCUGCCAAAAUUGAACUUUGGUAUCGAUUUACAGCUGAAGCCAAGCAGCCAAAGUUGUUGACAGCACAGUCCAGCACAGACAUACCCAAUCCAGCCCGGAUCAGAAGUUUCUACCUAGGCAGAAAUGGGAUUCCAGCCAUCUUCUUGUCUUUCUAGGGUUGAUUUCUCCCUUCUUAAUUGUGUAAAAGGCAGUUCUGCCUGAAACAGUAUUUUAUUAUUAUCUAUUCUGGCCAGAACAACCAUUUGAUACUGAGAUAGAUUAUGAAAGUCCUCACCAGUCUGAGGCAAGAAAAGAACUUACUUGGGAGAUAUUCCUCACCCAAAUUCACAAUCCUUUGUUUUAGAAGUCAGUAACUUGAGGCGCAAGUUAUCCAAUCUAAAAAUAAGUCUGCUAGAAUUUACAUUGCUAGCAGUGGCACGUUCGCACACCAAAGAAAGCUGACUUGUCGACCAACAAGUGGUCUCCAAGCCAGUGGGGAACUUCGCCCUUCCACCUCAGGAGUAAAACACGAAAACGGGUGAACAGUUAGAAGAUUCGGUCGUCAUCCCCUCAGAGAGUCCACCUACUUCUCUCCCCUUCGCGACUCCACCGUCAUAUUACUCCUCGUCUCCAACACCUGAAAUCAUCACCGAGGAUGAAAUUCGAAACCCUGAAUCACAAUGUAAGUUUGAGCGAGGGUGAAGAAGACAUUGGUACCAUACACAUAUGCUCGUGUAUUUUUUGAGGUUUUUUUGGCAAAUAAAAAGGUUAACAGAGUUAACUCUCUGUUAAAUUAGUUGACAUAUGUCAACAAACUAGGGGAGGGACAUAGGGGGACAUUCAAUUUGGGGACAGCGAAUCCGCUUCCCCAUGUGACAGGCCUUGUCACUUGGUGAAUUAUAACUUAAAAGUCCAAAUGAAUUACAGUCAACCCUAAUAUAUUGAAGGUACCCCUUAAAACUUGCUUCUUUUUUACCCCUAUUUCAAUAUAAUAAUUAAAAAGCAGAAAAUAGAAAAGGAAAAAAAAACAGCCAGCCGCCACCAUCCCCCAUGGACCACCAUUGUCCGCUGGCAACUCCUCUUCCUUCUCUAACCGCCCACCAAUUAGGUCUCAAUCUAUCCUCAAUCUUACAUCAUAGUUAUGAACAAGAAUGUAGUUACAUAUUUAAAUUACCCAUAAUGAUACGUGCAUUGGCUGACCCAGGAAUGUUUUAGCCACUACAAGAAAAAAGGUCAGUAGUGACCAAUUUCCUUGUGACCACAUUAAUAAUGGUCACAAGUACAGUGAAUUUAAUGACCAAUAAUACUACAUGGUCAGUAAAUUGAUUAAGACAUAUUUUAAUUUUUUAAUCACUAUAUUUUCUGACCAGUAUUUAAAUUAAUCACUAAAAACAACUCAAAAAAUAAAGCUAGUGACCAAUACAUACGCCAAGCUAGCCUUACUUAUGUUAUUUAAUACAUAAUUCUGUGGUGCCUCAGUUGUACCGGUACAACCAAUCAUCUAAGGGUUCAUAUUUCAUUUUAAAAAUUAAGGGUUGAGAUUGAAUGACCUGAUGACUUGUUCACUCCUUUCUUAUUAAAGAGCACGUGAAAUACACGUGACUGAGAAAACAAACGAAAAAGCUUUGACGAACGCGAGGAAGACGUCGCGUGCACUAGGAGCUGCUUCAUCUUUGCAAUAUCUCUCUCUCUCUCUCUCUCUCUCUCUCUCUCUCUCAAAUCCAAUCCUCAUCUUUGUCCCCAAGUCGGAAUCUGAGCAUCUCCUCUCUGCCGACGCCGCGAUGCAAGAACCAUCAGAGAGGAGACAUAGUGGGGUGAUUCAGUCGAGUUCGACGGGGGUGGUGUGAAAGGCCUUUAUUUGGGUGGAAAUUCAACGACUUAGUAUUGAAUCUGGAGUGAGGAUGUCUGUGUUGCAGAGCCUUUGAUGGGAGAAAAAAUUCAACGCCUUGGACUGAAUCUUGGUGAUUUUUUUCCCUCUUUUAAUAAUUUUUAAUAUUUUAAUAUUUUCUCUUAAUUUCAUCACAGCAUUAGACCCACUGUGAUCCUUUCUCCAUCAAACCCAUGUAAUUUUGGUUUUAUGGAGGAUUUAUUUUCUUCCAUGUAUGAGGUUAUGGAUUUGUGCUUCAAAAUAAGGUAUGAAAUUUGGAACAAUCAGGUUGUUGAUUUUCUUUAAAGUCUUGGAUUCUUGAAUUUUCUUCCUACUUUUUUUUUUUGUUUCAAUUUUUGAGAUUUGUUUUAUUACUCAAGGACUCUGGUCAUGAUGAAUCCAAUUGGAGUUUUCGGGCUUGUUAGUGGAGAACUGAGGUUGGCAUCAAAAGAGAAAGAUGAGUUCUUUAACUGAGAAACCUCAUAACUGGUUUUGGUUUUGGCUAUAUUAUUUCUUAUGUGCAAUUGCAUAUAGUUUUUGUGCAAUUGCAUACAGUUUAUGCAAUUUUUGUUCCCCUGUAUGCAAUUAGUGAUAGUGUGAUGUUUAAAGAAACGUUUGACUUGAAUGCUAUGUCAUUGAGUUAUUUACCCAUUAACAAUCUAGUAAAUUGAGGUUUUGUUCGUUGAGUAUGUUGCGUUCAUUUGAUAAAUUUAAAUGUUGGUAUGUUCGGUAAGAAAAAAUAAGAGUUCACGAGAAAGAAGAAGACAUGAUUUUUUAUUUUUUUAUUUUUAGAUGAAGUGUCUUGGGUUGCCAUUACCAUUUCAAAGACUGUAUUGCUAAAUCUGUAAGUGUAUGGUUUAAAUGUGAUGUUCAUGAUUGAUAUUGAUUGUUGUGAUUGCCGUAACUGCUAUAUUUUGGUUGCUCUGGCUAAGGAUUCAGGAAAAGAGCAGUUAAGACAAGUGCAUUUUUGUUACACUGAAAUAUGUGUUUUGAGAUACGAUCACAGUGUUUGAAUAAUCUCUCUCUACCUCCCUCUCAUUUGCAGAAAGGGGUAUGCUCACUUGGACUUUUCAUGCAUACUUGGUGAGAUUCUUACCUUCUUCUGAGAACCUAAUAUUUAGGGGCUAACAUUUGUGUACUCUACAAGUUAUAAAUUGAGCUAAACGUAUUACAAAAUAUUUUAGGUGAAGUGUUUUCUUUGUUUAUGUUUCUUUUUUGAGAUCUUAUUUCUUAUUUAUGUGACAUGUAGUCUUGAUUAGAGAAAAUAGGUGAUAUCACAUAUAAUUUUCUAUAGCUUUUAGGUAGUAGCAGAUUAUCCGUAUUGUCAUGCAAAUGAACACACACAAAAAAGAGGCCCUCUAGCCAAAAAGAGGAAAUUUGGUGAUCUUUGCAUACGUUAUAAGAGUGUGAGCCAAUGAGCCUUCUAGUAAAAACGAAAGAAGUUAAAAACCAAAAGAAGGGCGGAAUACAAUUGCAUAUUGUAAACUAAGAAUUGCAAACAGAUGUUACGAACUUGCAUACAUAUAUAUGCAAUUGCAUAUUGUAAAAUGAGAAUUGCACAUAAAUGCUACGAGAUUGCAUACAAGUAUAUGAACAAAAAAAGUUAAAAACCAAAAGAAGGGCGGAAUGCAAUUGCAUAUUGUAAACUAAUAAUUGCAAACAGACGUUACGAAAUUGCGUGUAUAUAUAUAUGCAAUUGCAUAUUGUAAAAUGAGAUUGCACAUAGAUGCUACGAGAUUGCAUACAGGCAUAUGCAUAUGGAUACUGUAAAUUGAGAAUUGCACACAUGCUAUCAAAUAUGCGAUAUAUGCCCACAAAAACCAUUAACAUGGUUAAAUUGUUGAUUUAGUCCUUGAACUUGUAUCCAAUUUUCAAUUUAUCGCAUGACAUUUUUUUUAUAAUAUUACGGAUAUGCAUUUUCUUUAUCGCCAAUGUCUCCCCUGCCGUUUAAUUCCCUAACAUUUCGUCCAAUCUGUCAUUAAAUAUGAGGGCACAUUGAUCAUUUCAUACGUUAAACAUAAUUGAAUUAUGUAAAAUAAAAUAAAAUAAAAUGAUAUUAAAUAUAUGCCUUUAAGCCAAACAUGUGAUAUUGCGUUCUUUUUUGGAUAUUUCACCAUCAUUUAUGGACAAAAUUGUUGUUUUCAUCUAUGUUAUUUAGUCUACAAUCAUAACAGCACAACAAUCCUUGGAAUAUGAUUCGUAUGUGGGCUAAGCAAUGAGAUUGGAUAUAAGAAGACUUCUCAUAUUUCCACUUCACUUCGUGGUCAUAUAUUAUCAAUUGGGCAUUGAUCAUAAUUGAAAAAGUCCAAUUUUCUUUUUCGUCAAUUCAAUGUGACUCAAUCAAUCAACCAUUAAGUAAUAAUUUUUGUUGAAAGCUUUUAAAUUUAUAUUUUUACCAACAAUCAUAUGUUUGAUUUUAUUGAAUUUUUUUUAAUUAACAAUAUAGGAAUAAUUGGAGAUAAUCAACAAAGUUCAAUUUUAUUCUCAAUACUUCAUUGGGUUUAAUUAGUAGUAAAUCAUGAAAGUUAUAUUCAGUUAUUUAUGCCCAACAAACCUACCUAAAGAACGCUAAGCGACUCGUUCGUCGGGUAAAUAAUGUUGUUCGUUGACCAAAUUACCUAACGAACUCCUUGAUUUACUCAACAAAAAAGGUAUUUUACUUCGAAGACGCAAGGGGAGCGCUCGGUGAGUAAAGCUCGUCGUUCCCGAGAAAUUGGACUAACUAAAAUAUUUUAUCAAACAAACGCGCUAUUUUUUCACUUGAACGCAGAGGGUGCGUUCGUUGAAUAAAGUUGGUCGUUUCCCGGGAAAUUAGACCCAACUAACUUACUUUUUCAAACAAAUAGGCUAUUUGUUCAUGCGAACGCAGGGGUUGCGUUCAUUGAGUAAAGUUGCCCAUUCCUCGUUCUUCAGAAAAAUGGGCCAAACUAACUUACUUUUUUAAACAAACAGACUAUUUGUUCAAGCAAACGCAGAGGUUGCGUUCAUUGAGUAAAGUUGCAUGUUCCCCGGAAAAAUAGACUCAACUAACUUACGUUUUCAAACAAACAUGAUAUUUGUUCAUGCGAAUGCAAGGGUUGCGUUGGUUGAGUAAAGUUGCUCGUUUAUCGGAAAAAUGGACCUAUUAUCGAAAUUACGUAGUAAUGGACAUUGUUAUGUAGCACAAAUGAUUUUCCAAAAGAUCCUGAAUUUCGUAAAACACAAUGUGAUUAACAUAAUAUUGAAUAAUAGACAUAUGGUCAUAAUAAAGUAUUUGCUUGGUUUUCUUUGUCUGCGCUAUACAUUAAUUAGGUUUGCGUUUUUAAGGUAUAUUUAAGUUGCACACAGCCGGUUUGCAUUUGCAUUUCAUACAUGCAAUCGCAUGACGAUAAUGCAAUGCAAGAGUGACUGUGCGCAAACCCCUAAUAAGAAAAAAUGGAUCAUAUUUUUUUGUACAUGCAUAAUUAGACCCAUUUUUUGAACUAUAAAUCGAAGGGCGAAAUGAACCGAAAUACAGAGCAUGAGAAACGGUAAGAGGCAAUAAGCCGAACAUAUUAAAAGAUCCUUGCAAAGUCCACAUGGACGCAAAUCAUGCAGAACAUGGUUACAGAAGUUAGUCGUAACAUGAACUUUGGGAUCAUUUGGAUCCCAACGUUGCUGUUUUGGGUUUUUGACAAUGUGAGGUUGGUUUGAAGAGGAAGCCAUGCAUUUGUAAUGGAUAGAGUCAAAGAGAAAGUCACUCAAAUGCCCCUUUAUAAUAGAAUGGAGGGGUUUAAAAUGUUAACGCAAGGGUUACCCGGAAAAAUUAACCCAGCCAACUAACGUUUUCAAACAAACGAGGGUUUUGUUCACACAAACGAAAGGAUUGCGUUCGUUGAGAAACGUUACCCGUUCGCCGAUAAAAUAUCCCCAACCACCUUACUUUUUCAAACAAACGCGGUGUUUGUUCUAGCGAACGCAAGGGUUGCGUUCAUUCAGUAAAGUUACCCGUUCCUCAAAAAAUGGGCCCAACCAACUUACUUUUGCAAACCAACGGGUAGUUUGUUCAAUCGAAUGCAAGGGUUUGCUUUCGUUCAGAAAUACUUGACGUUCCGCUGAAAAAGAGGGCCAACAAUCUUACUUGUUCAAACCAACAUGGUAUUUAUUCACACGAACGCAAUAUGUGCGUUACUUGAGAAAAGUUACUCAUUCGUCGAAAACAUGCCCCAACCACCUUACUUUUUCAAACGAACGGGGUAUUUUUUCACACCAACGCAACAAGUACGUUCGUUGAGGAAAGUUUUCUAUUCGCCGAAAAUAUAUAUCCAACUAACUUACUUUUUUAAACAAACGGGGUGUUUGUUCUAGUGAACGCAAGGGUUGCGUUCGUUCAGUAAAAUUAUCCGUUUCCUGUAAAAUGGGCCCAACCAACUUACUUUUUCAAACAAACAGGGAGUUUGUUCAAACGGACGUAAGGGUUUGCUUUCGUUCAAAAAUACUCGACGUUCCGCCGAAAAAAAAGGCCAACAUAGUUACUUUUUAAAACCAACAUGGUAUUUAUUCAAACGAACGAAAUACGUGCGUUCCUGGAGAAAAGUUACCCGAUCGCCAAAACAUGCCCCAACCACCUUACUUUUUCAAACAAACGGGGUAUUUUUUCACACCAACGCAACAGGUGCGUUUGUUGAGGAAAGUAUUCUGUUUGCCGAAAAAAUAUACCCAACCAACUUACUUUUUCAAACAAACGGGCUAUUUGUUCACGUAAGCUCAGGGGUUGCGUUCAUUGAGUAAAGUUGCUCGUUCUUCUAAAAAAUGGGCCAAACUAACUUACUUUCUCAAACAAACGGGCUAUUUGUUCACGUAAAUGCAGUGGUUGCGUUCGUCGAGUAAAGUUGCCCGUUCCUCGAAAAAAUGGGCCAAACUAACUUACUUUUACAAACAAACAGGCUAUUUGUUCAUGCGAACGUAGGGGUUGCGUUCGUUGAGUAAAGUUGUCCGUUCCCUUGAAAAAUGGGUCAAACUAACAUACUUUUUCAAACAAACGGGCUAUUUGUCCAUGCGAAUGCAGGGGUUGCAUUCGUGGAGUAAAAUUGCCUGUUAUGCGGAAAAAUGGGCCAAACUAACUUUCUUUUUAAACAAACGGGCUAUUUGUUCACAUAAACGCAGGGGUUGCGUUCGUUGAGUAAAGUUGCUCGUUCCCCGAAAAAAUGGACCCAACUAACUUACUUUUUCAAACAAACGGGCUAUUUGUUCACGCGAACGCAAUGGGUUGCGUUCGUUGAGUAAAGUUGUCCGUUCUCUAGAAAAAGGGGUCCAACUAACUUACUUUUUCAAGAAAACAGGCUAUUUGUUUAUGCGAAUGCAGGGGUUGAGUUCGUUGAGUAAAGUUCCCCGUUCCCCGAAAAAAUGGCCAAACUAACUUACUUUUUCAAACAAAUGGGCUAUUUGUUCAUGUAAACGCAGGGGUUGCGUUCGUUGAGUAAAGUUGCUCUUUCUUCGGAAAAAUUGGCCCAACUAACUUACUUUUUCAAACAAACUGGCUUUUUGUUCACGCUAACGCAAUGAGUUGCGUUUGUGGAGUAAAGUUAUCCGUUCCCUGAAAAAAUGGGCCCAACGAACUUACUUUUUCAAACAAACGGGCUAUUUGUUCACGCGAACGCAGGGGUUGCGUUUGUUAAGUAAAGUUGCCUGUUCCCCGGAAAAAUAGGCCAAACUAACUUAAUUUUUCAAACAAACGGACUAUUUGUUCAUGUAAACGCAGAGGUUGCGUUUGUUGAGUAAAGUUGCCCAUUUCCUAGAAAAAUGGACUCAACUAACUUACUUUUUUAAACAAACGGGCUAUUUGUUCAUGUUCGUUGAGUAAAGUUGCCCGUUCCCCGAAAAAAUGGGCUAAAUGAAUUUACUUUUUCAAACAAACGGGAUUCAUGCGAACGCAAGGAGUGCGUUCGUAGAAUAAAGUUGUCCGUUCCUCAGGAAAAUGGACCCCACUAACUUUCUUUUUCAAACAAACGCACUAUUUUUUCAUGCGAACGCAAGGGUUGGGUGUGUUGAGUAUGUUGCGUUCAUUUGAUAAAGUUAAAUGUUGGUAUGUUCGGUAAGAAAAAAUAAGAGUUCUUGAGAAAGAAGAAGACGUGAUUUUUUAUUUUUUAUGUUGUUUUGUUUUGUUUUGAGUCGAAGAAAUUAUUAUUAUUAUUUUUUAAAGAAAAAGCGUAUGGGUGUGAUAUAUACUAUUGUUAAUUUAAUUGGAUCUUUCCCCUUAUAUUUUUCACGUGUUUCUUUUUUAAAACUAUUUAAAAUUUUGUUCUUAAAAUUUUUCACGUAAGCCUUGUACCAAGGGAUAUGCACUAGAAACCAACUCCACUAAAUAAAUUUUUGUGUCAAUUUGUUGCACGUUGGAGUAUAUAUACAGUUGUUAUAAUAUUAAUAUAAAUUAUGUAAAAUAAAAAAAUUUAGGGGGUCCUCAAAAAUCAGGGGCCCUGUGCAUUGGGGCCACUUGCACUAUUUCAGGGCCGCCCUUUCUUACUAGUUGGGUUAAUCUUAACUAUCUCAUAUAUGGGAAGAUAGUAGGGAGCUCAAGAGAGACCUAUGUGCACUAUGUUCUAACAUGGCUUACAAACUGCUCAGGUUACGUGACUUGGUAUGACUAUUGUAUGAAUCUAGAUGGUUGUUCCUCAUUGUUUGAACCUCAUUGGAGCUCUUCAUUUAUGUAGAUGGACACUUAUCUAAAUUGUAAUUCAAUGUUAAAACAAACAACGGAUUUAUGCAUAGUUUAUUCAUUCUAAUCAACAUUUUAGUUUCAAACUUUUCAUUAACACGCAUUACAUACCACUUAUAUUUCAUCAUAUGUAUAUCUUAUUAUUAGUAAAUUUUGAGUUUUAUUUGUUCAAUACAUUCAUUGAUAAUGUACAUAACAUUUAUGAAAGUUUUAUACCAAAAUUAUGUGUUUCAAUGCCUAUAUCUGUCUUCUUCUUUUUUCGAUACCUAAGACGAUAACAAUAUAUCCCCCAAAAUAUUCGUAAAUUGGAGGCCUGAUAUUAUUUGCAUGGCUGAUAUUUUAAUCCUUGGCCUUACCUCUGUGAGGUGAAGAAAUUGGAUUCAGGUCUCGAGUAAAUAGCUUAGAUUUACAGUAUGGCUCUCAAUUGCAAUGUUAAACCCUACAUUAGUUAUAUCCAUUUUAUUUUUUUGGUCUAAAUAUAAUAUAGAUAGUCUAAUUAUUCUUUUCUAUGGGUAUCUAUACAUUAUUGUAUAAUAUUUUAAUUUAUUUUAGUCAAAUAUAAUAUUUUAAUGAGUAUAUAGUAUAUGUAACAAUUAAAAAAGAGAACCAGUUUUUUUUGCCAAGAAAAACGAAGAACCAAUUAAUCGGUCACUUAUUUUGAGUGAUAAGAUUAUUAGUGAUACUUAUGGAUGAUAUGUUGAUAUUUAAGGGGUUUUUUUAAUUAAUUUAAAUUAUAUGCUUAUUAGGCUUUAGGGUCUCAGUUAUGAAGUGUAAUAGUAAUUUCUUAUACUUAUUCGACUUUAGGAUGUAAGUUACAAAUUCAAUUGCGAUAUGAGUAAUGUGUAAUUGAACGUAAUUUGUGUCGUUAGCAUUUGUAUUGACAACCAUGCAAUUUCCAAAUAGUGGAAGGAAUUUCAAAGAGACUACGCCUUUGUCAAUGUUUCAGUUGUUAAUGCAUGUCUUAGAAUUGUUGUGCAAUUGCACAUCCAUUGUAGAUAAUUGCAUAUAAAAUUUCAAAACAUACUAUGAACUUACAUGUAAUUACUCAUAAUAAUUUGAUAAUUGUAAAAAGACCAUGCAAUUGCACGUACCAUGACGCAAAAACGCAAAAAUAGCUAACCCAUCCCCUCCUUCCCUUCCCGACACCUCUCCCCCUCCCCCAUUCCCUCAGCUCCCCCUCUCUCUCUCUCUCUCUCUCUCUCUCUCUCUCUUUUCCCGUCUAAAAGAAACACAAACAUCAAAAAUCAAUCAAACCAAGACAUCAAGAAUCAAACACAGCUCCAUCAAACCCAAACAUGAAAAAUCAAUUAAACCCAAAAAUCAAUCAAACCCAUCCCAGCUUCUCCAUUUUUCACAUAUUUCGCAGGAGAAGGAAGUUUUCAUCAGUUCAUGACUGCAACUUUGUGUGCAUCUGCUCCAUUUGGAUUUAGUAGAAGGACAGCAACUAGAGAUUUAGUACAAGCCAUAAUAAAUGAUAGUUGAAGUUUAAUGAAUCAAAGGUGAAUCAGAUUUGGGGAAAUAGAAGAAAUCAAAUAAAUUUGGGAUUUCUAAGAAGAGGUUCUCAAGAUUUAAGCAUGUGAAUAAGAGAAAUCAGUCAUGAUACUAUGUUAGAAUUGAGCCAAACAGAAAGAAAAUGAACUAGAGAGAAGGGUAGGUGAGGUAUUAGGAAGAAGAAGAAGGGGAAGGAGUGUCGUGAAGGAGGCGCGUCAAUUUUUCCCCUUGCUUUUACCUGUUAACCAACACAACCGUUAUCCUUUAUUUUAAAAACACCCCUAUGUAAGUGGCUGUACCGGUACAGCUGAUGUACAUGUAUAGCUGAUGUACCCUAAACUAAGGUCUAAAAUAUCGAUGAUAUCGGAAAUAUCGGUAGUCCAAAAAUAUGGAAAUUUCGAUGGAAAUAUCGGGAUAUUAUCGAUAUUGAUAAAAAUUGAAUAAAAACCACGGAAAUUGUAAGAAAAACUUGGAAAUUUUUAUUGAAACUUUGGAGAAUGUCAAUUUAGUCAAUUAUCUAUGAGUUUAUCACAAAAAAUUAGAAGGAAAUGCAUUGCAUGAUGGAUUUAACUAAUUUAAGUUGAUUAUACGGCAAGCGGACAAACACUAUGAGUGUAAAAAAUAUGUAAUAAUUAAUGCAAAAGAUUAAAUACACUGUAAUCAUUCAUAUAUAAUGAUUUACUAUAAUAUUUUACACUUUAUACAUUGCAUGAUAAGAUACAUGAAUGACUUAGUACAACAUAGAGUUCCUACGAGGUUCAAAAUUUUCACUAUCUUCAUCAUCUCUAUGUGUAGAGUAAGUGUAUUGUGAAGAGUAGUCAUCAAAUGAUAAAUCCCCAAAAUAGUUUUGCAUGUAAUUGUUAACAUACCACCCAUAUAAAUAUAAAUAUUUUAGCAUAUUAUCACAAAAACAUAAGUGAUAUGGUGUUUAAGGUGUUGGAGGAGUAAAAUGGGAGGGGUUCAUAUCCCCUUUGUGUUUUUUUCUCCCCUUUUUCCCUCUUUUUUUUUUAAAUAACUUUUUUUUUCCUUCACAUCGAUAUUUUCGAUAUUUUCGAUAUUUUAGCGAUAUUACACCGAUAUUUUGACAAAAUAUUGCUGAAAUGUGAGCGAAAUUAUCGACAUCGAUAUUUUCCGAUAUUAUCGUCGAUAUUGUCGAUAUUUAUACGAUAUGUACAUGGAUAUGUUCCGAAAUAUCCGUGAUUCAAAAAAACCAAAAUAUCCUCGACUAUGCCCUAAACCCAGUGACCAAUUCACUUUUUUAAACUUUAGUUUUUGUUUUCAAAACGGGCGUGUUCUGAGCGAGAAGAGCGAAAGCAUCUAAAAGGAAAAAAAAAAUAGACGAACGAGCUCAGAGCGAGACCAAAUAGACCAGAGUCUUCUUCGACGAGCGAGACCAGCGAGACCAGAGAGAGCGAUACCGUCUUCUUCGACGAGCGUCGUCCUCUUCGUCUCUGUCGUUUCGAUUUAUAAGUUUUCUCCCAAUAUCAUGUGAGCUUUCUAUUUCUCUUUUGCUUUCAAUGUUAGUUUUGAUUUCAUUUGGGUUAGAUUUGAGUACGAUUGUGACUCUGAGUCUGAUUCUCUAUUCCCGAAUUCCCUAGUUCUCUAGGUUUGAUUUGAUAAAUAAAGGCUUUAAGCAAAACUUUGUGUCCUUAAGCAGCUAGGUUUUCUUUUGGUACUCAGGCAGAGCUUGAUUUUAGGUUCAAUUUUGAUUUCAGUUCUGAUUAUUGCAUUUUUUUUUUAUGUACUGCUUGUGUGAAUUUCAGUUUGCAGUGGACAUGUUCUGAUAUAAACAAUGCAUGUCCUGAUUAGACUGUUAUAUAUUGUGUUGAAUUUCACAAUCCAUUGAUUUUCUGACCAAUUUUGUUUGCUUUAGGCUAGUUUCAUUCAUCUACCUGUAAUGCAGUUGACCAUGAAUUUAAACAGCUUGGAAAUGUGGUCCUUUGAACUGAUUGUUCUUCUAUCUGGUCUUCUUCCAAACCCAAAGUUGGAAACCUCAGUGCUACAUUAUCAUCCCCUCGCCAAUACAGUUGAGGGUCUGGGUAAUUAUGUUUCGAUCUAUUCUACAUUUGCAGAAUGCUGCAUUCGUCUUGGUUCCUGGCGGAUUUGGAGAUCGUGGUGUGAAAGGUAUGAUAUUAGCUGCAAAGUAUGCCAGAUAGAACAAUGUUCCUUAUCUUGGGAUUUGUUUGGGCAUGCAGAUUUCCGUGAUUGAGUUCGCAAGAUCCGUAAGCGACAUUUCUUUCACUAACAUGUUUUCUUCUAAUUUUAAGAUCAUAUAUCAGCCCUAAUUUAAUUACUUAUUUUAGGUUUUGAGUUUAGAAAGGGCGGACAGCACAGAGUUCGAUGAACAUACACCAAAUCCUGUUGUAGUUUUUAUGCAUAAGGUACAAAUUUAUGGUGAUGCUUUCCUAUUCAGUUAUGAAAUACAUAUGGCUGCAACAUUCUUUUAUGUCUGCAUAUAGAGUUCAAGAACACAUAUGGGAAGCACAGUGAGACUGGGAUCCAGAAGAAUACUUUUCCAGACUCCUGAUUGCAUUACUUGAAAGCUGUAUGUUCAUUAUCUAUUACUACGUUCAACUUGAGAUAUACAACAGAUAACGUGUCUGUUACUGAAAAUUCAAAUUAUAAGUUCAGUUAUCUUGUUGCAUUUAUACAGUAAAGUCGAUGCAGGUGCCAUGUGUUCAAACACUGCCGGUCUGGAAGAACCCAUGGCACAUGCAAUUGAACUUUUACCUUUAUUGCAUUUAUACUGUAAAACUCUCCAACUUUGUUGGCUAGUUUAUUAUUUUGCUGGAAGUCUUUUCUUACAUCUCAACUAUAUGUUGUAUCUGUGACUGCUUAUAUCAAAACUAAUCCCAGAAGACCACCACUUCGAAACUUUUUAGUUUUCCACUAUUAGCAUCCACUUUUAACACUCGUAAUCUGGUAUCGCUAUCAAUUUCUAGGUACCAUAACUUGGGAGUAUGUGGAUGAACGGCAUCGGCAUAGAUAUGAGGUUGGUUGUAAUUUAGUUCAGGUGAAACAUGAUCUUUCACAAGUGCCUUUAUGUGGUGGACAUGGACUGAUUCCGUCAUGAUGAAGUUGAACCCGGAUGUUAUUGGAAUUCUUGAAGAAGCGGGCCUAAAAUUUGUAGGGAAGGAUGACAGUGGAAGACGAAUGGAGGUGGGUUUUCUGCUGGUCUUAUGCUCACUUGUAGUGAGCAUUUGUCAGAAUUUACUUGGUUAUAGUUGCACACAAUCCUUUCUUACCAUUUACUGAAAAGGAUUGAAUUUGAAUAUUUGACUUUUUACAAGAUUUGUGUUACUUUUCUGUUCUGCAGAUUUUAGAGCUUCCAAGCCAUCCAUUCUAUGUAGGAGUGCAAUUUCAUCCAGAAUUUAAAUCACGGCCUGGGAAGCCCUCAGCUCUCUUUUUAGGUACUAGUACAAACAAGUGAGCUUUAGAUGUCAUAUACUCACAUUUCCUGUUAUUACUGGGAGACAUAUAUAUGCUGCAACAUGCAUCUUUGAAUUACCAUGUUUCUCUGCUGUAUCUCUAGUGUUUGAUAUAGAACUUGGGCCAUGCUUGUUUCGAAGUACAUUACGGAUUGUCUCUUUACAAUUCCCAUUUACAUUCAGUGAUGCUCUAUCAAGUCAUUAUGUCUCUGUACUUCAUUUGACAUCUGUGACAUUGCAAUUCUAGGUCUUAUCUUGGCAGCAACAGGGCAGUUGGAAACAUAUCUUGACCAGCAUCCAAAUACAAGUUGACAGCAUUGAGUCACUGUCUCAAUAUUCCCAGAUAAUUUUUUCAAGGUAGAUUUGAAUGUGGGUGUGGAUGGGGCCUAGUGUAGUAAAAGCUAAUGUCUUAUCUAAUUUUGUUACUUUGUUCAGUGCACUAGUAAAAAGAUUGCUAUAGCAGUUAUCCUCGACUUCAUCAUCAAUGAGGUUAGCUUAUAACUCUCAUCUUACUACAAUACAUUUUGCAAUCUGCACAAUAUACUAAUUUCCUAAUUUCCAGUUAUCCUCCACUUUAUCAUCAUUGAGUUCCUAAUUUCCAGUUACUUCAGACAAUUGACAGAUAAACUUUAAGCGACUAAUUAAUUAGAGAUGCGCUAGCUAGUUCUUGAGUUUAAUUAUUCUUGCAUUUAGUUAAUUCCCGGUUUAGUGCAUCCCAAGUAAGAACUGACAUUAUUCUUUGUUUGAUGCAGGUCUGAUGGAUAAAGGGCAGAAGACAAUCUACCAGUGAUGAAUCUUAUGUUAUUUGUUUUUGUGAAGCACCUGACAUUUAGGUUGAACUUAAACAUGUAGCAUUUUGUUUUUGAGACAUCUUGUGAAUUUGUUGGAAGAAUGUUAGAUAUAUGGACUGCUUUUGAAUGCAAUGAAUUAUUCGAUGCUAUAAAUUUUAUCUACAGCACUGUUUAAAAGAAAUUAAUUGUGAUUUCAUAUUGUAAUACAAUAAAUAGAGAACAUGGAGAGGUAAACCUAAUUAGUUACCAGUUUUUUGAAAAACAUUAGUGACCAAGCAAGUAGGUCACUAAUGUGGGCACGUGACCUAGUUUCAGUGACCAAAAUGCAUGUUUUGGUGACCAAAUUGUAAGCUAUUUAGUGAUCAAAUUUGUGGUCCCUAAUAGUGUUUUUAUUAGUUACCAGACAGGGAUAGCCUCUAAUUCUUUGUGUUGUAGUGACCAAUAGUUGACAUUGGCCACUAAAUAGAAUUUGUGACGAGCUUCUAGUGACCACCCAGUGACCACCAAUAUUUGGACACUGAUUGCAUUUAUUGACCAAAAAGGGUAGUUACUGUGACCAAGUGGGUGGCCACUAAUACCUGUUUUUCUUGUAGUGAGCGGAGGUGCAAUUUUGAAAGGCUAAAACUCUUUGUGGAUUGAACAUCUAAGGUUUUUACCUAAAUUGACCUUAGGUCCCUUCAUGCAUUUAUAUCAUACAUGAAAAAUUGUUAUAUGUAAAAAUAUUGAGACUAAGUAUGAAAAAUUGUUUUUCGGAAUAAUCAUUUUCUGAAGAUAAUUUUUGGCGGCUUUUAUUCUUUACACAUCAAAUAAAAAAACUUGAUUUUAUGGAAUUUAGUAUGAAGUAUAUAUUGACUUAAUGAGCCAUCAUUUUUAGCUUAAAUCGUUUUUUACACUAAAACCGAUUUUUCGGAUUUUGAUUUAGUGGGAAUUUGAUUUUCUAGUAUUUUUAUUUAAAUCCAAAUGGGAGUACUUCCUUAUUUACAUUGUAAACUUAAGUAAAUAUCUUUGUCAAUUUACUUAAAUGUUGAAAAUAGAAAUAAGGUAAUAUGUACACCAACUGAGCAAAUGGGCAAUUUGAAACACCUAUAAUGGUUUUUCCUCAUAGGUUCCUCCCUUCCUUUCUCUUUAGGAGCAAAGGGACAAAGGACCAAUUCCUCAUAGGUUCCUCCCUCCUUACCCUUUAAAGUAAGCAAGUAAAGUACCUUACCGGGUGAAUCUUCUGCCUUCACCUCCCGCCCAGUGACCCUUUUCUUUACCUUCUUAAUUUUUUUUAAUUAAAGAAAAACAUAUCACAUCAUACUAAAGGGAAGAGGCGCACCACACGGACUCUUUCUCAAUCCAAAUUUUAGAAAAGAAAAUUUACCGAAAAAUAUGAGCCCAAAACCCCAUGGUUUUGGCUGCCCUGAAUCCAUGUGUCCUCUCAAAUAAUGCCAACUCCUGGUUAUUAGAGAAUGCUUCCUCCCAAUCCCAUCUAUAUGAGUAUGUGAAACCCUCACAUUAGGUUUCCAAAUCAGUACUUUAUUUUGGGUGUUUACCUUUUGGUCUCAACAAUUUGGUAUGACAACUUGUUUCCUUCAAAACCAACCACUCUUUGCCAUUUAUGGCAUCACCUUUCACACUUUACUUACAGUACAAAACCCAGAAACCCUUGUAGCUAUAUAUUUACCAAGCCUCUUUCUGAAGGCGCGCGUAAGCUAUUUUACGGAAACCUUCUUCACCAUAUAGGAAUUCCCUCUAAUGCCCUUUCUAUCUUUCAAAAUGAUCCAUUAUUUGUUAAACAUUUAAACAGUGAAUGGCAAAAUACUGUUUCUUUAAGUGUUCAAGGAUGCUCAACAAGUAAAUGCCUCCGGACUAGAAUUUCUAUCGACAGUUUUAGUACCAAAAGUCUGGGACAAUUAUUUCCAUAUCCUAUGCAUUUAAGAAGAUUGCUAACAAAAUGUUUCUUGAAUCCUUAGAAUAAGCCUUCUAAGUAACACAUCAAUCCCAGAUGGCUGGGUUUCAUGAGUUUGCAUGCAGAGAGAUUUUAUAUAGGAAAAAUAACCCAUAUAAGGGAAAGUAAACUAUGCAAUUUCAUGGAAGGAAAAUAAGCUAUGCAAGCAUGUCUCCACUACAAAUGAAAGAUAAACGACAUAAAAGUUCAAAAACAUAUAAACAUUAGGGAGAUUCCAAACUUUUCCACCAAGAUCAUGUUUGUCUGCACCAUGAUUGCCUGUUUCUGGAACCUAAACCAUCGACCCCACAUUGAAAGAUAAACAACAACAAAGUCACAGUUACGCUAAGUUCAAAAACAUUUAAACAUGAUGAUGUUCCAAACUUACUAGCCAGGAUUCUGUUUCUUGGCACCGUAGCUGUUUGUUUUAGAACCUACACAAUCAACCAAAGUAACCCCGGCAUUUUGAUGAUCCAUGUGGGAACCUAAUUAAAUCAAAACCCUAGAUCAAAUAAUUCCUUCCAUUUCGGGAUUAUUUGACCUAAUUGGGAAUUAUUCAAUUUAAUUG
rnacentral:lncRNA from 1 species